rnacentral:rRNA from 1 species
UACGGAGGGUGCAAGCGUUGUCCGGAAUCACUGGGCGUAAAGGGCGCGUAGGCGGCUCAUGAAGGCUGUGGUGAAAGUCCGGGGCUCAACCUCGGAUCGGCCGUGGCGACUCGUGGGCUGGAGCACUGUAGAGGCGGGUGGAAUUCCGGGUGUAGCGGUGAAAUGCGCAGAUAUCAGGAGGAACACCAAUGGCGAAGGCAGCUCGCUGGAACGGUACUGACGCUGAGACGCGAAAGCGUGGGGAGCAAACAGG